rnacentral:rRNA from 1 species
CCUACGGGAGGCAGCAGUAGGGAAUCUUUCACAAUGGGCGAAAGCCUGAUGGAGCAACGCCGCGUGCAGGAUGAAUGCCUUCGGGUUGUAAACUGCUUUUAUAAGCGAGAAAUAUGAUGGUAACUUAUGAAUAAGGAUCGGCUAACUACGUGCCAGCAUCCGCGGUCAUACGUAGGAUCCGAGCAUUAUCCGGAGUGACUGGGUGUAAAGAGUUGCGUAGGUGGCAUAAUAAGUAGCUAGUGAAAUCUGGUGGCUCAACCAUUCAGACUAUUAGCUAAACUGUUAAGCUCGAGACCGUUAGGGGUAACUGGAAUUUCUAGUGUAGGAGUGAAAUCCGUAGGUAUUAGAAGGAACACCAAUAGCGUAGGCAGGUUGCUGGGACGGUUCUGACACUAAGGCACGAAAGCGUAGGGAGCAAACGGGAUUAGAUACCCCAGUAGUC